ACCCUCCAGUUUCUUUACUCAUCAGAUCUAAACACUGGUCUGAGCAGUUAAAAAAGGAGGAAAAGUGAAAUUGAAACUGACUUCAAUCCUUUUGUGGCCCACGAGCUAGUUUCAAACUAUG